rnacentral:rRNA from 1 species
GACGAGCGCUGGCGGCACGCUUAACACAUGCAAGUCGAACGAGCGAAAGAGUGCUCGCACUCUCUAGCUAGUGGCGGACGGGUGAGUAACACGUGAGCAAUCUGCCUUUCGGAGAGGGAUACCAUUUGGAAACGAAUGUUAAUACCUCAUAACAUAACGAAGCCGCAUGACUUUGUUAUCAAAUGAAUUUUGCCGAAAGAUGAGCUCGCGUCUGAUUAGGUAGUUGGUGAGGUAACGGCCCACCAAGCCGACGAUCAGUAGCCGGACUGAGAGGUUGAACGGCCACAUUGGGACUGAGACACGGCCCAGACUCC